AACGCACAUUGCGCCCGCCAGCAUUCUGGCGGGCAUGCCUGUUCGAGCGUCAUUUCAACCCCUCAGGCCCUGGUGCCUGGCGUCGGGGCAUCUCCCUCGCGGGAGGCCCCCAGAGACAGUGGCGGACCCGCCGCGGCUCCGAGCGCAGUAGUAAAAUAUCUCGCUUAGGAGGCCCGCGGAGGAGCUUUCCGGCCGUAAAACCAGGUCUGCAAAGACCGACCCAACCAAGGUUGACCUCGGAUCAGGUAGGAAUACCCGCUGAACUUAA
rnacentral:misc_RNA from 1 species